ACAAAGACAGCAAUUCGCGAGGACAACAAAUCUCAUAAACCGUGGCUCAGUUCAGAUCGUAGGCUGCAACUCGCCUACGUGAAGGAGGAAUCGCUAGUAAUCGCAGGUCAGCAUACUGCGGUGAAUACGUUCCCGGGCCUUGUACACACCGCCCGUCACACCAUGGAAGUUGGCCACGCCCGAAGCCGUUACUCCAACCCUUGUGGAGGAGGACGUCGAAGGUGGGGCUGAUGACUGGGGUGAAGUCGUAACAAGGUAGCCGUACCGGAAGGUGCGGCUGGAUCACCUCCUAA
rnacentral:rRNA from 1 species